CGGGUUCCCUGAAAAUUGUGCCCUGGGAACGGGCCGUCAGAGAUGGGUGAGAAUCCCGUCUUGGGCGGGGUGUCCCCCGCCCGUGGUAAAGCUCCUUCGACGAGUCGAGUUGUUUGGGAAUGCAGCUCUAAAUGGGUGGUAAAUUUCAUCUAAGCUAAAUACUGGCCGGAGACCGAUGCGCACAAGUAGAGUGAUCGAAAGAUGAAAAGCACUUUGAAAAGAGAGUUAAACAGCACGUGAAAUUGUUGAAAGGGAAGCGCUUGCGACCAGACUCGCCCGCGGGGUUCAGCCGGCAUUCGUGCCGGUGUACUUCCCCGUGGGCGGGCCAGCGUCGGUUUGGGCGGCCGGUCAAAGGCCCCUGGAAUGUAGUGCCCUCCGGGGCACCUUAUAGCCUGGGGUGCAAUGCGGCCAGCCUGGACCGAGGAACGCGCUUCGGCACGGACGCUGGCAUAAUGGUCGUAAACGACCCGUCUUGAAACACGGACCCGGGCCC
rnacentral:rRNA from 1 species